GGGAUAGAAUUCCAGGAGUAGCGGUGAAAUGCGUAGAUAUCUGGAGGAAUACCAAAGGCGAAGGCAGUCCCCUGGUCCGAUACUGACACUGAGGUACGAAAGCGUGGGGAGCAAACAGGAUUAGAUACCCUGGUAGUCCACGCCCUAAACGAUGUCGAUUAGCCAUUGGAAGGACCCCUUUUCCUUUCAGUGACGUAGCUAACGCGUUAAAUCGACCGCCUGGGAAGUACGACCGCAAGGUUAAAACUCAAAGGAAUUGACGGGGACCUGAACAAGCGGUGAAUGAUGUGGAUUAAUUCGAUGCUACGCGAAGAACCUUACCUACCUUUGACGUGGCCAAAGUUCUACCGAGAGGCGGAAGUACUCGUAAGAGGAUUGGCGCACAGGUGCUGCAUGGUUGUCGUCAGUUCGUGUCGUGAGAUGUUGGGUUCAGUCCCGCAACGAACGCAACCCUUAUCUUUAAUUGCUCCUAUUUUAACAGGCACUUUAAAGAAACUGCCAAUGAUAAGUUGGAGGAAGGUGGGGAUCACGUCAAGUCCGCAUGGCCUUUAUAGGUAGGGCUUCACACGUCAUACAAUGGUUAGAACAAAGAGCUGCAAAUUCGUAAGAAGGAGCCAAUCUCACAAACCUAACCUCAGUUCGAAUUGCGGUCUGCAACUCGAGCGCAUGAAGCCGGAAUCGCUAGUAAUCGUGGAUCAGAAUGCCACGGUGAAUACGUUCUUAGGUCUU
rnacentral:rRNA from 1 species